rnacentral:misc_RNA from 1 species
UCGUAACAAGGUUUCCGUAGGUGAACCUGCGGAAGGAUCAUUAAAAAAUACAUUACACACUGYUUUUGCGAACAAAAAAAUAAAUUUUUUUAUUCGAAUCAUUUAAAUCAAAACUUUCAACAACGGAUCUCUUGGUUCUCGCAUCGAUGAAGAACGCAGCGAAUUGCGAUACGUAGUAUGACUUGCAGACGUGAAUCAUCGAAUCUUUGAACGCACAUUGCGCCUCGAGGCAUUCCUCGAGGCAUGCCUGUUUGAGCGUCGCAUCCCCUCUAACCCCCGGUUAGGCGUUGCUCCGAAAUAUCAACCGCGCUGUCAAACACGUUUACAGCACGACAUUUCGCCCUCAAAUCAGGUAGGACUACCCGCUGAACUUAAGCAUAUCAAUAA